UACGUAGGGGGCGAGCGUUGUCCGGAUUCAUUGGGCGUAAAGAGCUCGUAGGCAGUUCAGUAAGUCGGGUGUGAAAUCUCCGUGCUCAACACGGAGCGGCCACCUGAUACUGCUGUGACUCGAGUCCGGUAGGGGAGUGUGGAAUUCCCGGUGUAGCGGUGAAAUGCGCAGAUAUCGGGAGGAACACCAGUAGCGAAGGCGGCACUCUGGGCCGUGACUGACGCUGAGGAGCGAAAGCGUGGGUAGCAAACAGG
rnacentral:rRNA from 1 species